rnacentral:lncRNA from 1 species
UUUUUUUUUAAAUUUUAACCAUUUUUGAUGUAACUUGCUAAAUAUUGUGAAAUAUUGAAUAGUCAGGGAAACCGAUAUUUAAAAUAUAAAUCCUUUAAAAAUUUCAGACAAAAAAAAUUCACCUAAAUCAUAAAUUAAUUUCAAGCAUUGUUUCUAAUACAUCUUUUAUUGUGCACAGAUAAUUGCUGCUAUCGCCUCUCUCAUCUUGGUAAAGUGGGUGUUACGAGCUUCAGUGCAGUGCCUAGAAAUAGAGAAGAACUGCAAGGCGUUGGAGACCGAUACAAAAUCCUGAUCUGCAUCUACUAAUUUAUGGCCGUGGGAGCCUUAUCUUUCAGAGGAACUGGGAAGGUGGAUAAAACAUCAGGAAAUCUUGCAGAGUGCCUGCUUCUCCCUUCAGCCCCCAAUGAAGCAAAAGCAGCAGAAUCUUUUCUAGAUGGAACUUGCUUGACUGAAACGGCUGGAAGGCUGACGUGUGGCAAGAUCUGCAGUCAUACGUCAUGAAGCUGAAUCUUCCUCCUCUUAAACAGUGACAGCUCUUUUCCGUGGAGUUUUUCCUAGCCUUCAU